GACGAACGCUGGCGGCGUGCUUAACACAUGCAAGUCGAACGGAAAGGCCCUGCUUUUGUGGGGUGCUCGAGUGGCGAACGGGUGAGUAACACGUGAGUAACCUGCCCUUGACUUUGGGAUAACUUCAGGAAACUGGGGCUAAUACCGGAUAGGAGCUCCUGCUGCAUGGUGGGGGUUGGAAAGUUUCGGCGGUUGGGGAUGGACUCGCGGCUUAUCAGCUUGUUGGUGGGGUAGUGGCUUACGAAGGCUUUGACGGGUAGCCGGCCUGAGAGGGUGACCGGCCACAUUGGGACUGAGAUACGGCCCAGACUCGUACGGGAGGCAGCGGUGGAGAAUAUUGCACAAUGGGGGGAAGCCUGAUGCGGCAGCGCCGCGUGCGUGAUGACGGCCUUCGGGUUGUAAACCGCUUUCGCCUGUGACGAAGCGUGAGUGACGGUAAUGGGUAAAGAAGCACCGGCUAACUACGUG
rnacentral:rRNA from 1 species